GAUGAACGCUGGCGGCGUGCCUAAUACAUGCAAGUCGAGCGAACGGACGAGAAGCUUGCUUCUCUGAUGUUAGCGGCGGACGGGUGAGUAACACGUGGAUAACCUACCUAUAAGACUGGGAUAACUUCGGGAAACCGGAGCUAAUACCGGAUAAUAUUUUGAACCGCAUGGUUCAAAAGUGAAAGACGGUCUUGCUGUCACUUAUAGAUGGAUCCGCGCUGCAUUAGCUAGUUGGUAAGGUAACGGCUUACCAAGGCAACGAUGCAUAGCCGACGUGAGAGGGUGAUAGGCCACACGAGAGCUGAGACGCGGUCCAGACUCCUGCGGGAGGCAGCAGUAGGGAAUCUGCCGCAAUGGGUGAAAGCCUGACGGAGCAACGCCGCGUGAGUGAUGAAGGUCUUCGGAUCGUAAAACUCUGUUAUUAGGGAAGAACAUAUGUGUAAGUAACUGUGCACAGCUUGACGGUAACUGAUCAGAAAGCCACGGCUAACUACGUG
rnacentral:rRNA from 1 species